rnacentral:rRNA from 1 species
CUUGCUUCUCUUGAGAGCGGCGGACGGGUGAGUAAUGCCUAGGAAUCUGCCUGGUAGUGGGGGAUAACGUCCGGAAACGGACGCUAAUACCGCAUACGUCCUACGGGAGAAAGCAGGGGACCUUCGGGCCUUGCGCUAUCAGAUGAGCCUAGGUCGGAUUAGCUAGUUGGUGGGGUAAUGGCUCACCAAGGCGACGAUCCGUAACUGGUCUGAGAGGAUGAUCAGUCACACUGGAACUGAGACACGGUCCAGACUCCUACGGGAGGCAGCAGUGGGGAAUAUUGGACAAUGGGCGAAAGCCUGAUCCAGCCAUGCCGCGUGUGUGAAGAAGGUCUUCGGAUUGUAAAGCACUUUAAGUUGGGAGGAAGGGCAGUAAAUUAAUACUUUGCUGUUUUGACGUUACCGACAGAAUAAGCACCGGCUAACUCUGUGCCAGCAGCCGCGGUAAUACAGAGGGUGCAAGCGUUAAUCGGAAUUACUGGGCGUAAAGCGCGCGUAGGUGGUUCGUUAAGUUGGAUGUGAAAUCCCCGGGCUCAACCUGGGAACUGCAUUCAAAACUGACGAGCUAGAGUAUGGUAGA